UACAGAGGGGGCCAGCGUUAUUCGGAAUUAUUGGGCGUAAAGCGCGCGUAGGCGGCUACUUAAGUCGGAUGUGAAAGCCCUUGGCUCAACUGAGGAAGUGCACCCGAAACUGAGUGGCUAGAGUACGAAAGAGGGUCGCGGAAUUCCCGGUGUAGAGGUGAAAUUCGUAGAUAUCGGGAGGAACACCGGUGGCGAAGGCGGCGACCUGGGUCGAUACUGACGCUGAUGCGCGAAAGCGUGGGGAGCAAACAGG
rnacentral:rRNA from 1 species